AGAAUGGCUGAGUGAUUAAGCAUUAGACUGUAAAUCUAAAGACAGAGGAUUUCCUCUUUUUACCA
rnacentral:tRNA from 1 species